UGCCGGGAUAGCUCAGUUGGUAGAGCAGGGGACUGAAAAUCCUCGUGUC
rnacentral:tRNA from 1 species